CCUACGGGAGGCUGCAGUGAGGAAUAUUGGUCAAUGGACGAGAGUCUGAACCAGCCAAGUAGCGUGAAGGAUGACUGCCCUAUGGGUUGUAACCUUCUUUUAUAUGGGAAUAAAACAGGGUAUGCAUACCCUCUUGUAUGUACCAUAUGAAUAAGGAUCGGCUAACUCCGUGCCAGCAGCCGCGGUAAUACGGAGGAUCCGAGCGUUAUCCGGAUUUAUUGGGUUUAAAGGGAGCGUAGGUGGAUUGUUAAGUCAGUUGUGAAAGUUUGGGGUUCAACCGUAAAAUUGCAGUUGAAACUGGCAGUCUAGAUUACAGUAGAGGUAGGCGGAAUUCGUGGUGUAGCGGGGAAAUGCUUAGAUAUCACGAAGAACUCCGAUUGCGAAGGCAGCUCACUGGACUGCAACUGACACUGAGGCUCGAAAGUGUGGGUAUCAAACAGGAUUAGAUACCCUUGUAGUC
rnacentral:rRNA from 1 species